CCUACGGGAGGCAGCAGUGGGGAAUUUUGGACAAUGGGCGCAAGCCUGAUCCAGCAAUGCCGCGUGCAGGAUGAAGGCCUUCGGGUUGUAAACUGCUUUUGUACGGAACGAAACGGUCUGCCCUAAUACGGUGGGCUAAUGACGGUACCGUAAGAAUAAGCACCGGCUAACUACGUGCCAGCAGCCGCGGUAAUACGUAGGGUGCGAGCGUUAAUCGGAAUUACUGGGCGUAAAGCGUGCGCAGGCGGUUAUAUAAGACAGAUGUGAAAUCCCCGGGCUCAACCUGGGACCUGCAUUUGUGACUGUAUAGCUAGAGUACGGUAGAGGGGGAUGGAAUUCCGCGUGUAGCAGUGAAAUGCGUAGAUAUGCGGAGGAACACCGAUGGCGAAGGCAAUCCCCUGGACCUGUACUGACGCUCAUGCACGAAAGCGUGGGGAGCAAACAGGAUUAGAUACCCUGGUAGUCCACGCCCUAAACGAUGUCAACUGGUUGUUGGUCUUCACUGACUCAGUAACGAAGCUAACGCGUAGAAGUUGACCGCGNGGAGGACGGCGCGAGUAGAAGUAAGUAGUAGUAGAGNGNGAGAGUAGACGACGGACGACGACGAGGGGAGGAGG
rnacentral:rRNA from 1 species